rnacentral:tRNA from 1 species
GUGGCCUAGUCGGUAGAUCAUCUGGCUCGCGACCGGAGGAUCGUGGGUUCGAAUCCCACC